GGUAAGAUGGCUGAGAGUCAAGCGGCGGAUUGUAGCUCCGUGCAUAGAGGUUAAAUUCCCCUUCUUAUCA
rnacentral:tRNA from 1 species